CGCGGAUGCGGCUCCCGGGUUUUUUUUUUUCCCCUUUUUUUUAUGAAUGAAGGGCAGCGGCAGCUGCGCAUGCACCGCGCCCCCCGCCCGGGGCUGGAGGCACUCAUCCGCUUCCAGCCGUUCUGCUCGCGGGAAGAUAAAUGGAGGGGAGGAAUCCUGGGCAUGGCUGCGCGGGAGCGGGCUCGCAGCGCGCUGGGUGAUGCACAACAGCUUCUCCAGGCACGUUUCUCCCCCUCCCUCCACGUCUCCUCUGACAGACAUCCCCAGCAGUGAUUUCAGACAAACACCCUAAAGCGGCUACACCAGUGUUCCUCCUGCAGGGCAGUCAGAAGAGACACCCACAAAUGUACCCAGGACCAUCAUUUUAUCCCUGUUUGGGAAUUUCCAUUACUGCUGGGGAAAGGGACUUCUCCUCCUGAGUGAAGACUCUGGGACGUGACUUGAAGCAAGGCAAGAGAAGCAAAACCUCCAUGUGAACAUCACAGAACAGAAGAAAAAAGUGAUGUACAAAGCAAGAGAAAGAAAUCAGGCUGGUUUCAAACCCUUUGUAGUGCUGGGCUGAGGGGAGACUGCUUCUUCAUCCCUCUGCUUUUCCAGACUGCACACUGUGUGUUCCUGCAGGAAUUCUCCUGCCCAGAUUUUUGUCACCUUGUGCAGAUUCUGCUGAGACUCUGGCAGCAGCAGGAUAUUGAAGGAUUUGAGCUGAGGUGUCUGAGCAGUCACAGCCCCCUGCUCUGACCCCUCAUUUCCAGCGCAGACACGGCAUCCUCAGCCCCACAUUUCCUCCAGGCAUGCACAAAAGCCACACAGGGGUUGGGGUUGCUGUUGUGGGGGAAGACACCCAAGUUCUGUGCAAGGGGAUGCUCACACCUGAGCUGUCUCUGGAAUCCCUGGCUGUGUGGCCCCUUUUCAGCAGAGAUCCCUGCAGCCCCAGCGUUUGAAGUGGCCGAAUCCCUGCAGGCCAGGGCCAGCAGCUCCGUCUGGCCAGGGCCCAUCGUCCCCUCAGCGCUGAUGUGGUCUGUACAGAGAUUUCCUUCCGUGAAGAAAUGGGAUGAAAGCAGGAAAAGGAGACUUUUUGUAGAGAUGAGCAUGAGCUUCAUCCUGGAGAAUCUGCAGAGUCCAGAAAAGCAGUUUGGAAAACAGCCGGUGUCUGAUUGGAACCCACAGGAGGCGGGAAGGGAGCCCAGAUGCUGUGCCAAAACCUGAAGGCAUCACCAGACCAAUCAAAGAAGGAUGCUGUGGAGGUUGGAGGCUGGGAAGUGAGAAAUGCUGUCACAGAAGUGCCCUCACAGAUGUGACAUCAGGAGGUGCCACAGGUGGGGCCAGAGUCCCACAGAUAUUCCAGUAUUUAAAAAGCUCUGCAAGAGCAGCUGCAAAAAGAGGAAAUUACUCCUGGAAAUGGAUCCCAGAUGCCUGCAGAGAAUAAAAACCUCUGGAAGCUGGAUUGCUAAGGAUGGAUCCCUGGAGAUGAAGAGUGUGGCUGUUGGUGAGAGCACCCCCAGCCUCUGCACCAGCUCUGCUGCGUGCACAGGCUCCAGGCUCUCAGACCCCCAUUUGACAGAGACUGGGAUUUUGGGAAGUGCUUUCUGGAGUGACAGCCCCCAGCCCCACCUAUUGCCAUGAGACUGGAGAUGCAGCCUCAGAAGCUCUGUGGCUCCUGGUGGUUUCCAGAGCAGGUGAUGCCAAAUACAGACUCAAAAUCUUUCACCAUUAUCAGGUGAAAUUAUUUCGUAGAGUGCCUGGUCCCUACAUUCAUUUUUCUCUCAAGACACCAUAGUGCAGCAGCUCAGCUUCCUUGCCAGCUGCCAGCCUUUCCCUGAAGGAAAGCCCCCAAUCACCCAGGGUGGCACAGGGGGCUCUGCUCCUCCACUGAGCUUUAAUCCACUUCAUCAUUGGGUCAUUUCCUAGAACCAAAGCCUUUCUUGAACCUUUAUCUGCGGGUAAAAGGCACCCAGAAGUCUCCUGGGUUGAUGAUGGGUGGCAUUGAGAAGCAAACACCCCAGAUCCAAGGGCUCUGAGCAGGAUCUCAGCAAACUCUGCAGGCAGGAGUGAGGAGCAGCCUGGAUUCUACCACAGCCACCUCAAGGGCUGAGGGCAUCUCCAGACAGCCUGACCAGAGCAGCUCAACUGCAAACAGCUUCUUCAUCAUCACUGAUUUCCUCUAAGGUUAUUUUUGCUAUUUUUAGGAAGACUCCAGUGCUUGCCAGCUGCCCUGAGUGCCCCAGCAAAGCUCAUGAACACUUUUCCACUCCCCUUGUCUCCCUGUGUUAAAUACCAUUGCUGUUCUCAGACUUUAUGGCCAUGGAGUUGUUCCUCUACAAACACCACCACUCAUGGCCCUAGCAUUAUACUUCUGGCAGGAACAUGUUAGGUUUUUACGGGAAUUAAAAAGCUCGAGUGAGAGAGAGAGCCUGAACCAAAGACAACAUAAAGGGCCUUAUUUCUUUGGGUAGGAGCCCAACAAUGCUAUUAAACAGCUCAAAGCAGAACAGAAAGCUGUUCAAAUAUGCAAGGCUGAGAGACACCACACUGCAGUGGUUUCUGGGUGCCCCAUGGAGAAAGGAAAAUAUCCCAAGAGGAGAUGGCUGUGAGGGGCAUGGCUGCUGCUGAGCUCUGACCCCCUGCUCACACCAGGACUGCAUCUGGAGCAGCUGUGGUUGUGGCUCCUCUCUCCUCCAGCUCUGUGCACAGAGAAAUCCCCACGAGGAGGAUCCCUGGGAGCUGCAGCCAGGAUAACCCUGCUCCAGGACAGCCUGAGCUCCAUCUGCAGCAUGGGCAGCUGAGGGCACCCAGCUCUUCCUCCUGGAUGGAGGUGUCAGCACCCCAAAGGACCAGAAAUAACUUCUGAAGGUAAAAAAAGCCUUAAGAAGUGAGUGAAACCCAAAUGUUCCUUCAUCCAGGUCAUGCUGAGCCGUGGUGGCUGCGCUGUGCUGCUCCCUGCAGCUCUGAGGGAGAGGAGCCCAGGGCAGGGCUGCAAUAGCUGUGAAAUUCUGAGAAGUUUGGGGUCGGUUCCAAACUUUAUCACUGGCCAAACCAGUGGCUUUGAUGUGAAAUCCCAAACUCUGCGAGCAUCUGACUGUGAGCAUGGAGGGCUGGUUGUGCUGCCAAUGUCAGGCUGUGAGCUCUGAAAUAGCAGCACACACUGGGAGCCGUGGAGGGAACCUCUGCUCUCUGCCCCAGAGCUGUGCAAACUUCACCCCACAGCACUUGUUUGCAUGACAGAGGUGGUGCUGAUGGAAAUGAGGGGGGUUCCUAAUGCUCCAAAAGUUUUUUGCAUGUCAGAAUUGCCAGGAAUUUUUGCGGAUUUUUUUUUAAUGGCUCCUGUGGCACAGAUUUAGUGGCCAGCAAAGACUCAACGCAGAGGUAGCCAGCUGAGGUGAGCCUUCUUGCCUUGGGUGUGAAAUACCUGGCUACUACACGGAGGAAAGCAGAAGUGUCUCACCUACUGGGUUAAAACCAGACUGGGUUGAUUCAAAUGCAUCAACAUUUUCCUUGGCUUUGGACACAAUCUUUUAUGUAGGGUUGGAAAGAAAUGCUCUGCAUGGCCUCUGAUGGAAAUGGUGAUGAAAAGUGCAGCUAAUCACAAUUGUCAUUUAGAUGAUCAGCUAGAGAUCACCCAGAGAGCUCCAGAGAGAUGAGAAGCUGCUAAACCCAGUAGUGUCCUGAGGCUUUGUCCAGCUCUGGGUAAUGAGAUCAGUGUCUCGUGAACCUGGCUCUGGGGAGUUCAGUGGAAACACUCCAGUUGCUUUCACUUUGGAAAGUGUUAUUUUCUCCAUUAAAGCAGAAAUGCAGUGUGUUCCAGGACGUGUGACUCAGCUGGGAUCAGACAGCAUCACCUCCUGAUGGGCUCCCUGCCCAUUCCCACUGUGACUGCAGCCCCCUGAGCAGCUCACACACUCCAUGUGGAAUGGAAAGCAUUUAGAACAGGUGGAAUAUUUUUAGGGAAUUCAGGCUCUGAAUUGCCUUUCCCAGGAGUUCCUGUGGGUUUUGGGGCAGUCUGAGAUCUACCUGGGCAUGUGGAGCAAACACCUCUCAGACAAACAGGGAUUUUAUUCAUACCAAGUUGUAGAGAACCAUUUCAUGGGAUGGAUUUCCUCAUCCAGGGGAGGAUUAGACACAGGCAGAGGUUUCCUCAUGCUGCAGGAGCAGCUUGGUGGGUCUGGGGUUAUCAGCAUGGGCAGCCUGCAGGGGCUGCCUCCCCUCCCGAGGCUGGCAGUGCAAGGCACAGCUCAAAUUCCUUGGCCUGUACAUCCUCUUAGAAGGAUUUAAUAAAUGAUUAGGCAAAGCAUAUGAUAAAUAUGUAAUAGAUCACUCUGUGACUAUCAGUGGAAUGCACUGGCUCGUUUCUAGGCUUGUUUAUGGCCAGGUGAUUUUAUCUCUAGUGAUGUGAUUAACUGCUUAAUGAAGUAUUUAUCAGCCAGG